UUGUGGUCAAGUGGCAGGGGACGGGCUUUGGACGCUACCACGUUUCGGGUUCAAUCCUUCUGCUAUGUGAAACUAACACACAUUUGUUUCGGAUAUCAAACAUGGAUAUGAGCCUUUGCUUUUUCGACCCAUUGAGAGUCUAUCCAUGGGCUGCACCUCCUCUUGGGGAUUAGUCUGUGUCCCUCCAUAGGCUUAGGAUAUCCCAGGUUAAAAAAAAAAAUACUAUUAUCCCACGCGCGCACACACACACUCAUG
rnacentral:lncRNA from 1 species